AUUUUCUAUUAUUUUUCUACGGAAUUACAAGAAAAUUCUUUGGGAUCUAAUAAAUAAAAUAAUAAUGCACACAACACAACCAAAUAAUUGAAUGGCAUCGAAUAUAAAAAUUAAAGAGUUUACAUAAAUUAAAGAUUUUCUUUGAUCGUAUUACUGCGUACGUGAUGGAAUAGGCUUUUGUAACAAAAUCACAUUUCAAUAACGAAAUUUAUCUAAGUUGUGUGUGAUGUACUUUGCAUAAAAUCAAAAUUCGCGAAGUUGUCAUGUGGUUGUUGUUUUUUAUAAUAACAAUAACUUCACACCUUAAAUAUACCAGUUUUCUUUUAACGAUUUGAUUUGAUUGAGGAAUACAAAUAAGCGGUAAAAUUAACAUUUCGUCAUCAGUUUUACUCCAUCACGAUUGUGGUAAUUCGCUAAAUGAUUUGUAAUGCGAAAGAAAUUAGAUUGUUUAAAAUUGUAAUUGUGUUAUUGUUUAAAAUAAUAAUUUUUAAGAGAGAGAGAUAAUUUUAACUUCAUUUUGCAAAAGAAAAAGUUCUAUUUAAAAGUAUAAAAAAUAGUGAAAGAAGAAUUUUAUCAGUGAGACAAAAAUCUUUGAUUUAUGUAAACUCCUUUGUUUUUAUAAACAUACUAUUUUGGAGAAUGGAAUUAUAGCUAAAAACUUAAACCUCAAAUUAGACCUUCAAGGAUUUAGCAUCCAUAAUUAUGUAAAUUACAAAGCUAUUAACUCAAAACCUGUAAGGAUUUGUCUUUAGAAGUAUGGAGUUCAUAAAGGUAAUUUUUAUAACAACAUUUUGGUAGAUAGUUAAAUAAUUUCUAAUAUUUUAUGAUGAUAAUAUUAAUUUAUGUCUUCUUUUCCCGACAUAAUUCACUUUUGAUGAUAAUAUUAAAUCUGAUUGUAAGCUUAAACGAGUAAAAUUUUAAUUAUAGAGAAAGUUGAAUGUAUUUUGUUGCAAAAACAACGACGCUUUAAUAAAUUAUUUUUAAUUAAAUUAUCAUUUAUUAAAAUUUGUUUAAUCAUGUCUGUUCUUUAAAUCGAUUCGGUCUUAAAACCGAUAAGCUUCUAAAACCCAAUUUGUUCAGUAAAUCAAAUUUUAUUUGAACGUAAUAUUCAGAAAAAUUAACUUAUUUUAAAUGAAAAAAAAGAGUUUAUAAUGUUCAUAGCAUUUAUAUUAAGUUACAAUUGUAUUAAAAACCCCAAAAAUAAUUAUUUAAUGCAUUAUAAUCAAAUUAAAUUCGAUUUACUUUCGACUAGAUUUGAAUACGAGAAAAAUUAUUAUAAUUCAUUUUUAAACGGAUUCAGUUUACAGAACAGACAUGAAAUGAAAUUCACGCUCAAACAGUUCUUGUGUAAUUAGGAUCUUGUGUAUGUACUUAUCGAUUUCAGGAAAUUGGAUGGAUGACAUUCAGAUUUUUUUGAAGCUGAACUGUUAUUUUUCAUUAUUUUCCAUUUUAUUUAUAGUUUAAUAUUAUUUUAGAAAAAUAAAAUAAAAAAUUAAAAACAAAUUA